AAGUCUGUGCUCUUCGUGUGUCUGGGUAACAUCUGUCGGUCACCCAUUGCAGAAGCAGUUUUCAGAAAACUUGUAACUGAUCAAAAGCUUUCAGAUCAUUGGGUCAUUGACAGCGGCGCUGUUUCUGACUGGAACGUGGGCCGGUCACCAGAUCCAAGAACUCUGAGCUUCCUCAGAAAUCAUGGCAUUAACACAGCCCAUAAAGCAAGACAGGUUACCAAGGAAGACUUUGCCACAUUUGAUUAUAUACUAUGUAUGGAUGAAAGCAAUCUGAGAGACUUGAAUAGAAAAAGUAAUCAAAUUAAAAACUGCAAAGGUAAAAUUGAACUACUUGGGAGCUAUGAUCCACAAAAUCAUCUCAUUAUUGAAGACCCCUAUUAUGGGAAUGAGUCCGACUUUGAGACUGUCUACCAGCAGUGUGUGAGGUGCUGCAGAACCUUCCUGGAGAAGGCCCGCUAAUGCCACACCCAUUCUCCCUGCAGCCCCAG